rnacentral:rRNA from 1 species
AUUGAACGCUGGCGGCAUGCCUUACACAUGCAAGUCGAACGGUAACAGGUCUUCGGAUGCUGACGAGUGGCGAACGGGUGAGUAAUACAUCGGAACGUGCCCGAUCGUGGGGGAUAACGCAGCGAAAGCUGUGCUAAUACCGCAUACGAUCUACGGAUGAAAGCGGGGGAUCGCAAGACCUCGCGCGGACGGAGCGGCCGAUGGCAGAUUAGGUAGUUGGUGGGAUAAAAGCUUACCAAGCCGACGAUCUGUAGCUGGUCUGAGAGGACGACCAGCCACACUGGGACUGAGCCACGGCCCAGACUCCUACGGGAGGCAGCAGUGGGGAAUUUUGGACAAUGGGCGCAAGCCUGAUCCAGCCAUGCCGCGUGCAGGAUGAAGGCCUUCGGGUUUUAAACUGCUUUUGUACGGAACGAAAAAGCUCUCUCUAAUACAGGGGGUGAAUGACGGUACCGUAAGAAUAAGCACCGGCUAACUACGUG